GACGAACGCUGGCGGCGUGCUUAACACAUGCAAGUCGAACGGACAGGCCCUGCUUUUGCGGGGUUCUCGAGUGGCGAACGGGUGAGUAACACGUGAGUAACCUGCCCUUGACUUUGGGAUAACUUCAGGGAACUGGGGCUAAUACCGGAUAGGAGCUCCUGCUGCAUGGUGGGGGUUGGAAAGUGUCGGCGGUUGGGGCUGGACUCGCGGCAUAUCAGCUUGUUGGUGGGGUAGUGGCUUACCAAGGCUUUGACGGGUAGCCGGCCUGGGAGGGUGACCGGACACAUUGGAACUCAGAUACGGCGCAGACUCCUACGGUAGGCAGCGGUGGGGAAUAUUGCACAAUGGGCGGAAGCCUGAUGCAGCAACGCCGCGUGCGGGAUGACGGCCUUCGGGUUGUAAACCGCUUUCGCCUGUGACGAAGCGUGAGUGACGGUAAUGGGUAAAGAAGCACCGGCUAACUACGUG
rnacentral:rRNA from 1 species